GCCUUCAUGGCUCAAUGGCAGAGCACCGUCUUGGUAUGACGAAGACUCCGGGUUCGAUUCCCGGUGAAGGCUC
rnacentral:tRNA from 1 species